UAGGGAAUCUUCGGCAAUGGACGGAAGUCUGACCGAGCAACGCCGCGUGAGUGAAGAAGGUUUUCGGAUCGUAAAGCUCUGUUGUAAGAGAAGAACGAGUGUGAGAGUGGAAAGUUCACACUGUGACGGUAUCUUACCAGAAAGGGACGGCUAACUACGUGCCAGCAGCCGCGGUAAUACGUAGGUCCCGAGCGUUGUCCGGAUUUAUUGGGCGUAAAGCGAGCGCAGGCGGUUAAAUAAGUCUGAAGUUAAAGGCUGUGGCUUAACCAUAGUAGGCUUUGGAAACUGUUUAACUUGAGUGCAAGAGGGGAGAGUGGAAUUCCAUGUGUAGCGGUGAAAUGCGUAGAUAUAUGGAGGAACACCGGUGGCGAAAGCGGCUCUCUGGCUUGUAACUGACGCUGAGGCUCGAAAGCGUGGGGAGCAAACAGGAUUAGAUACCCUGGUAGUCCACGCUGUAAACGAUGAGUGCUAGGUGUUAGACCCUUUCCGGGGUUUAGUGCCGUAGCUAACGCAUUAAGCACUCCGCCUGGGGAGUACGACCGCAAGGUUG
rnacentral:rRNA from 1 species